rnacentral:rRNA from 1 species
UGGGGAAUAUUGCACAAUGGGCGCACGCCUGAUGCAGCCAUGCCGCGUGUAUGAAGAAGGCCUUCGGGUUGUAAAGUACUUUCAGCGGGGAGGAAGGCGAUAAGGUUAAUAACCUUGUCGAUUGACGUUACCCGCAGAAGAAGCACCGGCUAACUCCGUGCCAGCAGCCGCGGUAAUACGGAGGGUGCAAGCGUUAAUCGGAAUUACUGGGCGUAAAUCGCACGCAGGCGGUCUGUCAAGUCGGAUGUGAAAUCCCCGGGCUCAACCUGGGAACUGCAUUCGAAACUGGCAGGCUAGAGUCUUGUAGAGGGGGGUAGAAUUCCAGGUGUAGCGGUGAAAUGCGUAGAGAUCUGGAGGAAUACCGGUGGCGAAGGCGGCCCCCUGGACAAAGACUGACGCUCAGGUGCGAAAGCGUGGGGAGCAAACA